rnacentral:rRNA from 1 species
UGCCUAAUACAUGCAAGUAGAACGCUGAAGAGAGGAGCUUGCUCUUCUUGGAUGAGUUGCGAACGGGUGAGUAACGCGUAGGUAACCUGCCUUGUAGCGGGGGAUAACUAUUGGAAACGAUAGCUAAUACCGCAUAACAAUGGAUGACACAUGUCAUUUAUUUGAAGGGGGCAAAUGCUCCACUACAAGAUGGACCUGCGUUGUAUUAGCUAGUAGGUGAGGUAACGGCUCACCUAGGCGACGAUACAUAGCCGACCUGAGAGGGUGAUCGGCCACACUGGGACUGAGACACGGCCCAGACUCCUACGGGAGGCAGCAGUAGGGAAUCUUCGGCAAUGGGGGCAACCCUGACCGAGCAACGCCGCGUGAGUGAAGAAGGUUUUCGGAUCGUAAAGCUCUGUUGUAAGUCAAGAACGAGUGUGAGAGAGGAAAGUUCACACUGUGACGGUAGCUUACCAGAAAGGGACGGCUAACUACGUGCCAGCAGCCGCGGUAAUACGUAGGUCCCGAGCGUUGUCCGGAUUUAUCGGGCGUAAAGCGAGCGCAGGCGGUUUGAUAAGUCUGAAGUUAAAGGCUGUGGCUCAACCAUAGUUCGCUUUGGAAACUGUCAAACUUGAGUGCAGAAGGGGAGAGUGGAAUUCCAUGUGUAGCGGUGAAAUGCGUAGAUAUAUGGGGGAACACCGGUGGCGAAAGCGGCUCUCUGGUCUGUAACUGACGCUGAGGCUCGAAAGCGUGGGGAGCGAACAGGAUUAGAUACCCUGGUAGUCCACGCCGUAAACGAUGAGUGCUAGGUGUUGGAUCCUUUCCGGGAUUCAGUGCCGCAGCUAACGCAUUAAGCACUCCGCCUGGGGAGUACGACCGCAAGGUUGAAACUCAAAGGAAUUGACGGGGGCCCGCACAAGCGGUGGAGCAUGUGGUUUAAUUCGAAGCAACGCGAAGAACCUUACCAGGUCUUGACAUCCCGAUGCUAUUUCUAGAGAUAGAAAGUUACUUCGGUACAUCGGUGACAGGUGGUGCAUGGUUGUCGUCAGCUCGUGUCGUGAGAUGUUGGGUUAAGUCCCGCAACGAGCGCAACCCCUAUUGUUAGUUGCCAUCAUUCAGUUGGGCACUCUAGCGAGACUGCCGGUAAUAAACCGGAGGAAGGUGGGGAUGACGUCAAAUCAUCAUGCCCCUUAUGACCUGGGCUACACACGUGCUACAAUGGUUGGUACAACGAGUUGCGAGUCGGUGACGGCAAGCUAAUCUCUUAAAGCCAAUCUCAGUUCGGAUUGUAGGCUGCAACUCGCCUACGUGAAGUCGGAAUCGCUAGUAAUCGCGGAUCAGCACGCCGCGGUGAAUACGUUCCCGGGCCUUGUACACACCGCCCGUCACACCACGAGAGUUUGUAACACCCGAAGUCGGUGGGGUAACCUUUUGGAGCCAGCCGCCUAAGGUGGGAUAGAUGAUUGGGGUGAAGUC